rnacentral:rRNA from 1 species
GACGAACGCUGGCGGCGUGCUUAACACAUGCAAGUCGAACGGAAAGGCCCUGCUUGCAGGGUACUCGAGUGGCGAACGGGUGAGUAACACGUGGGUGAUCUGCCCUGCACUUCGGGAUAAGCCUGGUAAACUGGGUCUAAUACCGGAUAGGAGCCAUUUUUAGUGUGAUGGUUGGAAAGUUUUUUUCGGUGUAGGAUGAGCUCGCGGCCUAUCAGCUUGUUGGUGGGGUAAUGGCCUACCAAGGCGGCGACGGGUAGCCGGCCUGAGAGGGUGGACGGCCACAUUGGGACUGAGAUACGGCCCAGACUCCUACGGGAGGCAGCAGUGGGGAAUAUUGCACAAUGGGCGCAAGCCUGAUGCAGCGACGCCGCGUGGGGGAUGACGGCCUUCGGGUUGUAAACUCAUUUCGCUAGGGACGAAGCUUUUUGUGACGGUACCUAGAUAAGAAGCACCGGCUAACUACGUG